rnacentral:rRNA from 1 species
GACGAGCGCUGGCGGCGUGCCUAAUACAUGCAAGUUGAGCGCUGAAGGUUGGUACUUGUACCGACCGGAUGAGCAGCGAACGGGUGAGUAACGCGUGGGGAACCUGCCUUUGAGCGGGGGACAACAUUUGGAAACGAAUGCUAAUACCGCAUAAAAACUUUAAACACAAGUUUUAAGUUUGAAAGAUGCAAUUGCAUCACUCAAAGAUGAUCCCGCGUUGUAUUAGCUAGUUGGUGAGGUAAAGGCUCACCAAGGCGAUGAUACAUAGCCGACCUGAGAGGGUGAUCGGCCACAUUGGGACUGAGACACGGCCCAAACUCCUACGGGAGGCAGCAGUAGGGAAUCUUCGGCAAUGGACGAAAGUCUGACCGAGCAACGCCGCGUGAGUGAAGAAGGUUUUCGGAUCGUAAAACUCUGUUGGUAGAGAAGAACGUUGGUGAGAGUGGAAAGCUCAUCAAGUGACGGUAACUACCCAGAAAGGGACGGCUAACUACGUG